GCCGAGGUCGGGCCUGGGAAGGGUCAGCGGGAGGCCUGAGGGCGCCGGGCGCUGAGGCAGGCGGGCGCGGGGUCCAGCCGAGAGGGUCCCGGCGCCAGGCAACGCGAUUCGCGCGGGGGUGAAGCCGGGGAGGGGGUUGGCCUCUCGUUCUGGGACCUUUCGGCGCAUCAGAGCGCGACACCGCACGCGUCGGGGGCUUGGGAGUCUCGGGGCGCGAGCUGUGUUGGAAGCGAAGUCCUCCUUGUGGGUUGGGGUGGCGGAGGGAGAAGGGAAGCGGGGGUCGCGGCGGGACCAGACGCCCCAGUCCUGGCCCGCCCGCGGCUACUGAAGGCGCUGCCGCCUGACCUGAACGGGCACCUGUGUUCCAGCUCCCCUGGGACCUGGGGCCGCCGCCCACAGACCAUGCUCCUGGGGCGCCUGACUUCCCAGCUGUUGAGGGCCGUUCCCUGGGCAGCUUCCGAUGCUCACAGAGGGAACCUCAGGGGUUCAGGCCAGGAAUGAGGUGCGGGGGAUCCUCGCUGGGACGAACGUGCUGCUCCCCAACCCGACGGGCUUGUGUGGUCUCGCGAGCGGUGACCGUGGCGUCUGGUUUUCUGCAGGCGGCCGC
rnacentral:sRNA from 1 species